UGAGGAAUAUUGGUCAAUGGACGAGAGUCUGAACCAGCCAAGUAGCGUGCAGGAUGACGGCCCUAUGGGUUGUAAACUGCUUUUGUUUGGGAAUAAUCGACAUUACGUGUAAUGUUUUGCAUGUACCAUUCGAAUAAGGACCGGCUAAUUCCGUGCCAGCAGCCGCGGUAAUACGGAAGGUCCAGGCGUUAUCCGGAUUCAUUGGGUUUAAAGGGAGCGUAGGCCGUUUGGUAAGCGUGUUGUGAAAUGUAGGAGCUCAACUUCUAGAUUGCAGCGCGAACUGUCAGACUUGAGUGCGCACAACGUAGGCGGAAUUCAUGGUGUAGCGGUGAAAUGCUUAGAUAUCAUGAAGAACUCCGAUUGCGAAGGCAGCUUACGGGAGCGCAACUGACGCUGAAGCUCGAAGGUGCGGGUAUCGAACAGG
rnacentral:rRNA from 1 species